AAACUAGGAUUAGAUACCCUAUUAUUAAAAUUUAAAUUGAAAAUACUAAAAUAGUAGAUAAUUAUUUAUUGAAACUUAAAUAAUUUGGCGGUAUUUUAGUUCAUUUAGAGGAAUCUGUUUAAUAAUUGAUAAUCCACGAAUAAAUUUACUUAAUUUUUUAUUUUGUAUAUCGUUGUUAAAAAAAUAUUUUUUAAUAAUAAUAAUAUUUAAAAAUUUUGAUUAAAAAUUAAAUCAGAUCAAGAUGCAGAUUAUAAUUAAGAAUAUAAUGGAUUACAAUAAAUUUAUUUAGA
rnacentral:rRNA from 1 species